CCUACGGGUGGCAGCAGUGAGGAAUAUUGGUCAAUGGGCGAGAGCCUGAACCAGCCAAGUCGCGUGAAGGAUGACGGCCCUACGGGUUGUAAACUUCUUUUGUCAGGGAGCAAUUGAGUCCACGUGUGGGCUUAGCGAGAGUACCUGCAGAAAAAGCAUCGGCUAACUCCGUGCCAGCAGCCGCGGUCAUACGGAGGAUGCGAGCGUUAUCCGGAUUUAUUGGGGUUAAAGGGUGCGUAGGCGGAAUAUCAAGUCAGCUGUAAAAAUUCGGGGCUCAACCCCGUCGUGCCGUUGAAACUGAUGUUCUUGAGUGGGCGAGAAGUAUGCGGAAUGCGUGGUGUAGCGGUGAAAUGCUUAGAGAUCAUACAGAACACCGAUUGCGAAGGCAGCUUACCAAGCUACUUCUGACGUUGAGGCACGAAAGCGUGGGGAGCAAACAGGAUUAGAUACCCCUGUAGUC
rnacentral:rRNA from 1 species